rnacentral:rRNA from 1 species
GACGGAGGAUGCAAGCGUUAUCCGGAAUUAUUGGGCGUAAAGCGUCCGCAGGUGGCUGUUCAAGUCUGCUGUCAAAGCGCAGAGCUUAACUCUGUACAGGCGGUGGAAACUGAAGAGCUAGAGUAUGGUAGGGGUAGAGGGAAUUCACGGUGUAGCGGUGAAAUGCGUAGAUAUCGGGAAGAACACCAGUGGCGAAAGCGCUCUACUGGGCCAUAACUGACACUGAGGGACGAAAGCUAGGGGAGCGAAAGGG